GUUUGAGUAGUUUAAUAAAAAUGUUGAUUUGUGGUGUCAGUGAUGUAUUUUUUACCUCAAGCU
rnacentral:tRNA from 1 species